rnacentral:misc_RNA from 1 species
AUGAAUUUAUAAUCCGGCGAGACGAAGGACGAGGACUGUCGCUGGCCUUUCAUCGAGGCAUGUGCACGCUCUCUUCUGGACUUUCGCCGUAUGGGCGCGGGGCGACCCGCGUCUUCAUAUACCUCUUCGUGUAGAAAGUCUUUGAAUGUUUUUACAAUCAUUAAAGUAACAAACGUAGUCUUAUUAUAAUCUAAUA